UACGUAGGGUGCGAGCGUUAAUCGGAAUUACUGGGCGUAAAGCGUGCGCAGGCGGUGAUGUAAGACCGAUGUGAAAUCCCCGGGCUUAACCUGGGAACUGCAUUGGUGACUGCAUCGCUCGAGUAUGGCAGAGGGGGGUAGAAUUCCACGUGUAGCAGUGAAAUGCGUAGAGAUGUGGAGGAAUACCGAUGGCGAAGGCAGCCCCCUGGGCUAACACUGACGCUCAGGCACGAAAGCGUGGGGAGCAAA
rnacentral:rRNA from 1 species